GACGGCCGGCGCGCAGGCGCCGACCGCGCAGCUGUACCCACUGGGCAGGUCCUCGCGCAUGAGCGUGGAAUCCGAUGCCAGCAGCCGCUCUGUGUCGCCGCCCAUCCUGCCGCUGCAGCGGCCCACGUCGGCGCAGCCAAGCGCCGCGGGCAUGGUGGAUGCCACCGGGCGCACCCCGCUGCAACGACCGCCGACGGCCGGCGCGCAGGCGCCGAGUGCGCUGCUGCACCCAC
rnacentral:rRNA from 1 species